CACAUCACAUUCCGUAUGAUUACCGAAGUUAAGCAUCGUCCAGCCUGGUCAGUACUUAGAUGGGUGACUGUUUGGGAAUACCAGAUUCUGUAA